rnacentral:rRNA from 1 species
AUCCGUGGCUAUACGAGUACGAAUUCCACCUGAUCGCGUCAGAUUUCGGAAGCUAUGCAGGGUCGGGGCUUGGUAGUACUGGGUGGGAGACCGCCUGGGAAUACCGGGUGUGCAGUGUUUU